rnacentral:rRNA from 1 species
UACGUAGGGGGCAAGCGUUGUCCGGAAUCAUUGGGCGUAAAGAGCGUGUAGGCGGCUCGGUAAGUCCGCUGUGAAAGUCCAGGGCUCAACCCUGGAAUGCCGGUGGAAACUGUCGGGCUAGAGUCCGGAAGAGGCGAGUGGAACUCCUGGUGUAGCGGUGGAAUGCGCAGAUAUCAGGAAGAACACCAACGGCGAAGGCAGCUCGCUGGGACGGUACUGACGCUGAGACGCGAAAGCGUGGGGAGCGAACAGG